rnacentral:rRNA from 1 species
GACGAACGCUGGCGGCGUGCCUAACACAUGCAAGUCGAACGGAGUUGUACCUUCGGGUAUGGCUUAGUGGCGGACGGGUGAGUAACGCGUGAGCAACCUGCCUUUCAGAGGGGGACAACAGCUGGAAACGGCUGCUAAUACCGCAUAACGUAUAAUUUUCGCAUGAAUGUUAUACCAAAGAUUUAUCGCUGAAAGAUGGGCUCGCGUCUGAUUAGCUAGUUGGUGAGGUAAUGGCUCACCAAGGCUUCGAUCAGUAGCCGGACUGAGAGGUUGAACGGCCACAUUGGGACUGAGAUACGGCCCAGACUCCUACGGGAGGCUG